rnacentral:rRNA from 1 species
CCCUUAGAUGUUCUGGGCCGCACGCGCGCUACACUGACUGGUGCAACAAGUGUCGCUCCUUGGCCGAUAGGCCUGGGCAAUCUUUGAACGCCAGUCGUGAUGGGGAUAGAUUCUUGCAAUUUUUGAUCUUCAACGAGGAAUUCCUAGUAAACGCGAGUCAUCAACUCGCAUUGAUUACGUCCCUGCCCUUUGUACACACCGCCCGUCGCACCUACCGAUUGAAUGGUCCGGUGAACCCUCCGGAGCGGCCCGCGCCAACGCAAGUUGAGCAAAGGCCGAGAAGUUGGGUAAACCUUACCAUUUAGAGGAAGGUGAAGUCGUAACA